rnacentral:rRNA from 1 species
UACGAAGGGGGCUAGCGUUGCUCGGAAUCACUGGGCGUAAAGCGCACGUAGGCGGCUUCUUAAGUCAGGGGUGAAAUCCUGGAGCUCAACUCCAGAACUGCCUCUGAUACUGAGGAGCUUGAGUCCGGGAGAGGUGAGUGGAACUCCGAGUGUAGAGGUGAAAUUCGUAGAUAUUCGGAAGAACACCAGUGGCGAAGGCGGCUCACUGGCCCGGUACUGACGCUGAGGUGCGAAAGCGUGGGGAGCAAACAGG